UACGUAGGGCGCAAGCGUUAUCCGGAAUUAUUGGGCGUAAAGAGCUCGUAGGCGGUUUGUCGCGUCUGCCGUGAAAGUCCGGGGCUCAACUCCGGAUCUGCGGUGGGUACGGGCAGACUAGAGUGAUGUAGGGGAGACUGGAAUUCCUGGUGUAGCGGUGAAAUGCGCAGAUAUCAGGAGGAACACCGAUGGCGAAGGCAGGUCUCUGGGCAUUAACUGACGCUGAGGAGCGAAAGCAUGGGGAUCAAACGGG
rnacentral:rRNA from 1 species